CCUACGGGUGGCAGCAGUGGGGAAUAUUGGACAAUGGGCGAAAGCCUGAUCCAGCCAUGCCGCGUGUGUGAAGAAGGCCUUCGGGUUGUAAAGCACUUUCAGUGGGGAAGAAAGCCUUGGGGCUAAUACCCUCGAGGAAGGACAUCACCCACAGAAGAAGCACCGGCUAACUCCGUGCCAGCAGCCGCGGUAAUACGGAGGGUGCGAGCGUUAAUCGGAAUUACUGGGCGUAAAGCGCGCGUAGGCGGUCUGAUAAGCCGGUUGUGAAAGCCCCGGGCUCAACCUGGGAACGGCAUCCGGAACUGGCAGGCUAGAGUGCAGCAGAGGGAGGUAGAAUUCCCGGUGUAGCGGUGAAAUGCGUAGAGAUCGGGAGGAAUACCAGUGGCGAAGGCGGCCUUCUGGACUGACACUGACGCUGAGGUGCGAAAGCGUGGGGAGCAAACAGGAUUAGAUACCCCUGUAGUC
rnacentral:rRNA from 1 species